UGGGGAAUUUUGGACAGUGGGGGCAACCCUGAUCCAGCAAUGCCGCGUGUGUGAAGAAGGCCUUCGGGUUGUAAAGCACUUUUGUCCGGAAAGAAAUCGCCCUGGCUAAUAUCCGGGGUGGAUGACGGUACUGGAAGAAUAAGCACCGGCUAACUACGUGCCAGCAGCCGCGGUAAUACGUAGGGUGCGAGCGUUAAUCGGAAUUACUGGGCGUAAAGCGUGCGCAGGCGGUUGUGCAAGACAGAUGUGAAAUCCCCGGGCUUAAACCUGGGAAUGGCAUUUGUGACUGCACGGCUAGAGUGUGUCAGAGGGGGGUAGAAUUCCACGUGUAGCAGUGAAAUGCGUAGAUAUGUGGAGGAACACCGAUGGCGAAGGCAGCCCCCUGGGAUAACACUGACGCUCAUGCACGAAAGCGUGGGGAGCAAACAGGAUUAGAUACCCUGGUAGUCCACGCCCUAAANGAUGUCAACUAGUUGUCGGGUCUUAAUUGACUUGGUAACGCAGCUAACGCGUGAAGUUGACCGCCUGGGGAGUACGUCGCAAGAUUAAAACUUAAAUAAUUG
rnacentral:rRNA from 1 species